rnacentral:misc_RNA from 1 species
CCAAACUUGGUCAUUUAGAGGAAGUAAAAGUCGUAACAAGGUUUCCGUAGGUGAGUUGGAACCCAUUCCUUCAUUAACUUUUUUGUGAUGUCGUGCUAACUGUGAUUAUAGGUGAACCUGCGGAAGGAUCAUUACCGAGUAACGAACCCUUCGGUUCAAACUCUCACCCCAUGUUUAUCAAGUUGUUGCUUCGGGUGGACGUCUUGGACGCUGGCGCCUAUGGCUCUAGAGAGUGCCCCCGAAACUUUUUAAAUCAAUUAUUUUAAAAAUCUGAGAAAAUCUAAAUGAUAUAAAACUUUCAACAACGGAUCUCUUGGUUCUGGCAUCGAUGAAGAACGCAGC